GAUGAACGCUGGCGGCGUGCCUAAUACAUGCAAGUCGAGCGAAUGGAUUAAGAGCUUGCUCUUAUGAAGUUAGCGGCGGACGGGUGAGUAACACGUGGGUAACCUGCCCAUAAGACUGGGAUAACUCCGGGAAACCGGAGCUAAUACCGGAUAACAUUUUGAACCGCAUGGUUCGAAAUUGAAAGGCGGCUUCGGCUGUCACUUAUGGAUGGACCCGCGUCGCAUUAGCUAGUUGGUGAGGUAACGGCACACCAAGGCAACGAUGCGUAACCGACCGGAGAUGGUGAUCGGCCACACUGGGACUGGGACACGGCCCAGACUCCUACGGGAGGCAGCAGUAGGGAAUCUUCCGCAAUGGACGAAAGUCUGACGUAGCAACGCCGCGUGAGUGAUGAAGGCUUUCGGGUCGUAAAACUCUGUUGUUAGGGAAGAACAAGUGCUAGUUGAAUAAGCUGGCACCUUGACGGUACCUAACCAGAAAGCCACGGCUAACUACGUGCCAGCCGCCGCCGUAA
rnacentral:rRNA from 1 species